rnacentral:lncRNA from 1 species
GUCCAACUCUCACAUCCAUACAUGACCACUGGAAAAACCAUAGCUUUGACUAGAUGGACCUUGAUGUACUGUGCAUAUAAGUUUAACCUAUAACCCCCUAUUAUUUCUAGAAAAAAAUGGAGACCAUUAGGAAGACGUGGCUGGAGCAUGGUGAAGCAGAGGAAUCCUUAUAAAAGACUGGAGGGUAAGAGUAAAUCAUGCAGGAUUUGCUGCUCAUGCUAUCAAAGAUUUCCACCUGGAAGGAAACACUGGGGAUGGGAGCAGGCUCUGUGUCAAAACUGGGGUGGCUGCAAAGUUUUGGACAAGACCUCUACAGGCAACUGGAAGCACAGUGUACCCAGGUGGUGGGGCUCGUCUGUGGCAAUAUAUUUUCCAGUCUGUCCAAUUGAAUAUGGCUGUAAGGGGAAUAAAACCCCAUGUAAUCUCCAGCAGUGACAAUUUAAUCAGUUGUGUAAGGGGAAGAAGCAGAGUCCCCUCAUUUUCAUAUUUGCAUAUUUGAUUUUUGCAUUGGGGAAUAGAGGUUAUGUGUUUCUAUUACUUUCCAUUUGAUUUUAAUAUUUAACCCUUUUAGGAGCAAAUUUCUUCCAAUGAUAGGAAAUAUUGAGUCAAGCUGGUAAAAAAUAAGAUUUCUGUUUUCAAAUAAAGCUCUGGAUGCAGCAUGUCCUGUGUAACAUUUUUUCCUACAAAGAAUCUAUGUGCUGAACAUGGCUUGUGUGUUCCCAGCUUCUGCACAUUAUGCAUCCCCUCUUAACAUUCAGAGAUCCACCCUGAAAAUGAAGGCAACUAUUUGGAGAACAAUACAAAAUGAUGAGGUAGUCUUAUACCUAUACCAUAAUAUGUCUCCUUUUUUGCAUUUGCAUUUUUUAAAAUGGUAAGUCUUAAUAACUACUGCUAUUCCUGAGAAAGUAGGGUUUCUAAAAUACCUUAUAUAUACAGGAAUCCCUUCUUAUGAGGUUAUAGAAAGGCAAUAGAUACAGUUAAAUUAGUAAAAUUCCAUUGUUUUAAAACUCUGUUUUACAACUGACAGAAUGAUGCUAUUAUCCAUAAUAUGGUAACAGAUUAGGGAAUAGAUUUUAAAAUAAAUAAGAUGCAGGUAAUUCAAAGUCAUUAUCAAUUACCCUUGUGUGACUCCCUUGAGUAUAUUAAAAAUCCACUCAAAAUGGUUUUGGAUUUGAAUUACUGGAACAUAGAUAGCUGUUUUUUCUUUUUUCUUUUUUCUUUUUUAAUGCAUCAAUUCAUGUAAACCUCCGAUUUUGAAAGCUCCAGAAGUAUGUUGGGUAAUUAAAAAAAAAGAAAAAGAAAAAGCUCGUAUUCUACUUGCUUAAUACUUUACAGUUUCUCUAUAAAAGUGAACUCUGAAGCCAGGCUUUCACUGCAGAGGAAAAAAUAUUGAUUUGAUUCUAUGUAAUUUUGCAAAAAGAGAAAAAAAAAUUUUUAAGUUUGAAAUUGUUCUGUGCAUUAAAUUUAAUCUAUAUAUGUAUUCACACAUGUGUGUAUGUUAGGCCAUAUUAACAUAUGGCCUAAAUAUUGUUAGUUAAAUUCUAUAAGAAAUUACUAAAAUUGGUAUUUGGAAAAGAUAAUCCAUAGCAUUUUAUUAAACAGCAGAGCAGAUCGUCUUUUUGUGUUCAUGAAAAGUGCACCAGUAGUAGUAUACAGGUAUAUAUAAUCAUUAGAUGACAGGUAUAAGAUGUUUUGGGGAUGAGCAGAAUUCACAUUAAAUUCCAGCACAUAAUACGUUAAGUUUUGAAUGUAGUCUUAUUUAUUUAAAUCUGCGUUCUGAUGGUCACACUUUCAAAGUGGUAACAAAUAUCUGUGAUCCAGUCAUUACCUAUUCAAAUUAACCCAGCUUCUUUGAAUAUGAUCUAAUGAUUGAAUGAUCCCCCAAACACUGUAAGUCCUUGGGGAAAUAUACUGAUGUCCCAGCACAUUUUCUCAAGGCUUGGAGAGGACUAGAUCUGCCAAGGAGUUGCCUUGAAGCAUGGACACUCUGCUCUACCUAAACACAAGUCCUAGGCUUUAAUCACAAUGGCUAGGUUCACACUAAAUCAAUUAACCAUAUGAUUGCUUUCACAGGAGCCCAACCUCAUCAGCAUCUUUCCUUCAGGCUAACUGACAAGACCGGGUGUAGUCAAUGUAGUCAAGUGAAUCUGAUUACCUAAGAGGUAUAAACCUCUCAAUAUACAAAUACGGGUAGGACUAUUCACCCUGAAUCUAGUUUUUUAGAGGUUGCCCUUUUAUAAUCAACCCUAUAAAUUUAAAUGAUCAAGGUAAAAUAUUUAUGAAGCAAGAGUUGGCAAGUUUUACAAGGAAGAUUGCGACCAAAUAAUAAUAGUCUGCUGCCUAGAUUGUGGGGUUUUUGUUUCAGUUUGUUUGUUUUGAUCUUUUUAGCAAGAAGUGAGUGAGCUCUCAAAAUCUAAAAUAAUAAGAUUUAAUUUGAGAAUUUGAAAGAAGUAAAAAUACCCAAGAAAUGUAAUUUGUAAUUUAAUAGCAACUUUAGACAAGGAUUGAGAUAUGUGUGUGUGUGUGUGUGUGUGUGUGUACACACACACACAUCUAUAUGUAUAUGCCUGUGUCCUUUUUUAGGCUUGUUAAAUCUUGUUAUUUCACUAAUCAUUGCUGGAUUUGGUGGUAUAUCAAGUGUGAACUUGAAACUUUCUAGCAUCCUUUUCUUGGUAUCCUAUUGGGAAGUUCUUGCCAGCAUGAUAACAGGAUUUUUGGUUACUACCCACUAGAAUUAUUUCUUCAAAAGUGUUUUCCUAGCUUAAAAGCUGAAUAUAAGAUCUGAG